rnacentral:rRNA from 1 species
AGUGAACGCUGGCGGUAGGCCUAACACAUGCGAGUCGAACGGCAGCACAGUAAGAGCUUGCUCUUACGGGUGGCGAGUGGCGGACGGGUGAGGAAUACAUCGGAAUCUACUUUUUCGUGGGGGAUAACGUAGGGAAACUUACGCUAAUACCGCAUACGACCUACGGGUGAAAGCAGGGGAUCUUCGGACCUUGCGCGAUUGAAUGAGCCGAUGUCGGAUUAGCUAGUUGGCGGGGUAAAGGCCCACCAAGGCGACGAUCCGUAGCUGGUCUGAGAGGAUGAUCGCCCACAUGGGAAGUGAGCCAGGGCCAGGCCCCCUGCGGGAGGAGCCAGGGGGGAAUGUUGGACAGGGGGCGCAAGCUGGACCCAGCCAUCCCGGGGGGGUGAAAAAGGCGUUGGGUUUGUAAGGCCGUUUUUUGGGGAAAAAAAAGCAGCAGUUUAAUACCCCCCUGUUCGGACGUAACCCAAAAAAAAAGCACCGGCUAACUUGGUG